AAACCGCCCAGAGGUAAACGGGUGGAUCCGCAAAGUCGGUCCGCGGAAUUCAGCGCGGCGCGCAGACCUGGGCUGCCGUGGUCAGGGAUCCCUGGGACCCAACCGCGGUGUCGAUCAGGACUCCGCCGCGUGCACUUUCCGCGGGCAGUGUGCUACAACCGGUUCGGCGGCGGCUAAAAGCUUGAGAGGUUGUAGGUGGGGGCGCAUGCGUCCCUACCAGCCUUUCUUCUGGCGAGCCGCUGCCGGACCGAGGGAAGGCCGCACGCUUCGAGGCCACCCUCCCCUCCAGGUGAGUUCGACUGGGAGAGACUGGGCAACCGUGUCUUCCGACCGCUCAUCUGCGAUCGGCGUGGGGCUGGCCGGGCGCGCAAUGUCUGUCAAGGUUGGUGGCAAGUAUGUCGGCAUUCCACCCGACCCGUCUUGAA
rnacentral:rRNA from 1 species